rnacentral:lncRNA from 1 species
ACUGGAUAACUGAAUUCUAGAAUUCAAGCCUGAUGUCAUAGUUCCAUGAGAAUUUUAUGAGAAGGAAAAGGAUGUUGUACAUGGGCAGAAAGGUGAAAAUUGUGGCCAGAGGCAGAUUGUGGUAAAUUACAAAAUUGGCUCAUAAUCCUUUAUUCCUUCUUGCCUCCAUGCUCUUUGCAAUGUGACUUUGCCACUUUUCUCAUUAAGAGAUGGAUUCUGUUCUCCAUUGCCUUCUGUCUGGACUGGUCUUGUAACUUGUUCUGGUUAAUACAGAGGUAAAUGUGAUGACACAUCAGAAGCCCAGGCCUCAAGCAAGCUUUCCCACUUGUUCUCUUGGAACCCUUCCCAGCUAUCAGGUAAAUAAGCCCAGGCUAUUGUGCUGGAUGAUGAGAGGUCACUGGAACACUGAUGAGCCAUAACAGCUGAGGCCAUUCUAGAAUAGGCAGCUUUAGCCAACCAGGCAGCUGACUGCAGAUACAGGCCUGCAUCCAGAUGAGUCCAGAAAAGCAACCUAGACACUACUGGCAAAGACAUUGAAAAGAAUCACACUGCUAAACCAGUAGCAGCUUUUAUCUUCUUCUCAGAUUGUAUACAUGCAGGAUAAAAGUGUUUCUAACACAUAGACUUCUAUAUUCCAGCAUAAAGAUGUAUUAGGCGCAUUUAUACUUUUACAUCGAAGCCUGUUUCAACAUGAACGGAGCCCAGAUAUUUAUGUAGGCCAGUAAUUGGAGUGUAUUUCCCUGUUCAAUUUCACAUUGUCUAUAAAAGGGUUUCUCAUGAUCGAUGACUUUCUAGUUAAAUUCAGAAGAAAACAUCUUGCAGCUACUGCCCUAUUGCCAUGGCCACACAUCACUGCCUUCUAGACAUGGGAAGUUGGUGACUUAAUCCUCGUUAUACCCUGAUUUUGGACAAAUUUUACAAGAAGAAUAGGACUUCUACUUCUCUAUGUCUACAUGCACCUGGAACAGUGCUAGGUCUAUGCUUACAAAUUGAUUGGUUCAGGUCACCGCCAUGAGCCUCAGGACAGAAAAUUGCCGGAUAUGAGAGAGAGAGAGAGAUUUGACUGGGCUAAGAAAGAAAUGAACACGAUUUAGAGAUGGAAAUGGUGACAUAUGGGCCUUUGAAGCCUCCCAUGUUCCAGAGAAGGUGAGGUUUCACCAUGUUAGUCAGGAUGGUCUCGAUCUCCUGACCUCGUGACCUGCCCAGCUCGGCCUCCCAAAGUGCUGGGAUUACAGGCAUGAGCCAUUGCGCCUAACCUCAGAAACCAUUUUUAUAACCUCAAUACCUAAUAGAAACUGGCACAUGGGCAACUUUGCAAAUUAAAUGGUUCACAUAUGAAGGAGCACAGCUGUAGAAGGAAAAUAAGGAAGAGAAAAUAACUUCGGAAAAUUCCCAGGACUCAUACUCUAAAGGUCAUGGUUCCAGUACCAGCUUGGCUACCCCUGUGAGCUGUGACUGCAAGAGUCAGCACCUAAAUUAGAUCAACACUACAACAUCAAAAAGCCAGCUUGAUGGCACAGCGGGGAGUGAGGAAGACUCGGUGGACAAAUCUGACUGGAAAACAAGUAGGCGUUGCAGAUGAAGACCUGGAACCAUGGUAGGAAGUGGGACAGGGAGCAUUUGGACAAGCUGUUCAAGAACUGAUCAUGCUCAUGUGUAUGGGAAAACAGAUGGAGGAAGAGAAAUUCCUGAAGAGCACAAGACUGGUGGGGCAAGGAACAAGCCUACUGAGAUGAGUUGCAGAUUUGAAGAUGGGAGAAAUGGUUUCGUUGUCUACCAUGUAAAAACUCAUUUAUGCAAGAUGCUUGAUAUCUGAAUUUCAAUUUCUUCAUUAUCAAAAUGAAUAUUAAAAAUACUCUACUUCUUAGAGUUGUCAAAAA